rnacentral:rRNA from 1 species
UACGAAGGGUGCAAGCGUUACUCGGAAUUACUGGGCGUAAAGCGUGCGUAGGUGGUUCGUUAAGUCUGUCGUGAAAGCCCCGGGCUCAACCUGGGAAUGGCGAUGGAUACUGGCGGGCUAGAGUGCGGUAGAGGAGAGUGGAAUUCCCGGUGUAGCAGUGAAAUGCGUUGAUAUCCGUAGGAACUCCGGUGGCGAAGGCGGCGUGCUGGAUCCCUUCUGACGCUGAGGCGCGAAAGCCAGGGGAGCAAACGGG